CAUUACAGAGUUGCAAGACUCCCAAACCACUGUGGACCUUACCUAACCGUUGCUUCGGCGGGCGGCGCCAGGGCCCCCACGGGCCCGCCAGCGCGCCCCCCGGCCCCCCUCGCGGGGGCGCCCGCCGGAGGCUCCAAACCAUUCUCGCAUGCACAAGGCCUCUCUGAGUCUUCUGUACUGAAUGAGUCAAAACUUUCAACAACGGAUCUCUUGGUUCUGGCAUCGAUGAAGAACGCAGCGAAAUGCGAUAAGUAAUGUGAAUUGCAGAAUUCCGUGAAUCAUCGAAUCUUUGAACGCACAUUGCGCCCGCCGGCAUUCCGGCGGGCAUGCCUGUCCGAGCGUCAUUUCGACCAUCAAGCCCCGGGCUUGUGUUGGGGACCUGCGGCUGCCCGCAGGCCCCGAAAACCAGUGGCGGUGCCCGCUGUCACCCCGAGCGUAGUAGCAACCACCUCGCUCAGGGCGUGCUCCGGGUCCCGGCCGUUAAACGGAAAGCAACCCCCCAAAGGUUGACCUCGGAUCAGGUAGGAGGACCCGCUGAACUUAAGCAUAUCAAUAAGCGGAGGAAAAGAAACCAACAGGGAUUGCCCUAGUAACGGGCGAGUGAAGCGGCAACAGCUCAAAUUUGAAAUCUGGCUUCGGCCCGAGUUGUAAUCUGGGAGAGGAAGCUUUGGGCGCGGCGCCAACUGAGUCCCCUGGAACGGGCGCCACAGAGGGUGA
rnacentral:rRNA from 1 species